rnacentral:rRNA from 1 species
CGGGUGCGUAACGCGUAUGUAACCUACCUUUAACUGGAGGAUAGCCCCGAGAAAUCGGGAUUAAUACUCCAUAAAAUUAUGAGAAGGCAUCUUUUUAUAAUUAAAGCUCCGGCGGUUUUAGAUGGGCAUGCGUGACAUUAGCUAGUUGGUGAGGUAACGGCUCACCAAGGCUCCGAUGUCUAGGGGUUCUGAGAGGAUUAACCCCCACACUGGUACUGAGACACGGACCAGACUCCUACGGGAGGCAGCAGUAAGGAAUAUUGGGCAAUGGACGCAAGUCUGACCCAGCCAUGCCGCGUGAAGGAUGACGGCCCUAUGGGUUGUAAACUUCUUUUGUACGGGAAAAAACCUUCGAACGUGUUCGAAGCUGAUGGUACCGUAAGAAUAAGCAUCGGCUAACUCCGUGCCAGCAGCCGCGGUAAUACGGAGGAUGCAAGCGUUAUCCGGAUUCAUUGGGUUUAAAGGGUGCGUAGGCGGGAUAAUAAGUCAGUGGUGAAAGCCUACAGCUUAACUGUAGAACUGCCAUUGAUACUGUUAACCUUGAGUACAAUUGAAGUGGGCGGAAUGUGUCAUGUAGCGGUGAAAUGCUUAGAUAUGACACAGAACACCGAUAGCGAAGGCAGCUCACUAAACUGUAACUGACGCUGAGGCACGAAAGCGUGGGGAUCAAACAGGAUUAGAUACCCUGGUAGUCCACGCCGUAAACGAUGAUCACUCGAUGUGUGCGAAUAUACUGUACGGCGUUCUGAGCGAAAGCCAUUAA